rnacentral:rRNA from 1 species
GACGAACGCUGGCGGCGUGCUUAACACAUGCAAGUCGAACGGUAAGGCCCUUCGGGGUACACGAGUGGCGAACGGGUGAGUAACACGUGGGUGAUCUGCCCUGCACUUCGGGAUAAGCCUGGGAAACUGGGUCUAAUACCGGAUAGGACCCUGGGAUGCAUGUCCUGGGGUGGAAAGCUUUUGCGGUGUGGGAUGGGCCCGCGGCCUAUCAGCUUGUUGGUGGGGUGAUGGCCUACCAAGGCGACGACGGGUAGCCGGCCGGGGAGGGUGACCGGCCACGCGGGGACUGAGAGACGGCCCAGGCUGCUGCGGGGGGCAGCGGUGGGGAAUAUUGCACAAUGGGCGCAAGCCUGAUGCAGCGACGCCGCGUGAGGGAUGACGGCCUUCGGGUUGUAAACCUCUUUCAGCACCGACGAAGCGCAAGUGACGGUAGGUGCAGAAGAAGGACCGGCCAACUACGUGCCAGCCGCCGCAGUAA